rnacentral:lncRNA from 1 species
AAUGUUUUUCACAUUAAGACUUAAUUGUUCAUUUUUCAAAUAUAUUUAAAUCUUUUUCUUUCUUUGUUGUUGUUCCAUUUUCUUUUCUUUUUUCUCCAUUUCAAUCAGAUUUUAAAAGAGUUGCCUCACCUAUAUCAAGGCAACCUGUAGUACUGUUCAUGGAGGAGGAUAGAGUGUCAUCGGGACUAAUAGUGGAAGUUUUGUUCCAGUUAAAGAGAACUCUAGAGCCUAGUUAGCAAUUCGCAAAUAUUAAAAAAUUAUAUUUUCUUAAGGAAUAAAAAUGUUUUCAUCUUCUCAAACUGUUGGACUACACAAGGUUUUCAUCUUUUCUUCUAGCUGCUCUCAAACUCUACUAGCAUCUUCAGUCUAAUCAUCUCACCAGGUAAAGAUAUAUCUAAUAAUCAUCUCAUCUUUCUUCCUCUUUCUUUGCCUCUGUGUAACCUUUAAAGAUUCAACAUAUUCUUCGAAGUCUAUCAUAUAUCUUUUAGCUUUUUUUUUUUUUUUUCCUUUCUUUUUAGUUGUUUUGGGUGUGUAAUUUCAGGUUGGAGAGGAAACUAGUUUGUUCAUCUGUUGAUUAUUCUGGUAUAGAAUCAAACUAUAUUUGGUACUCAUAAAUUUAAAUAAGAUUUUACUUUUUGGUCUGAUUUUUAUUUGAUUAUUAUGGUAUAGAAUUAAAUUAUAUUUGGUACUCAUAAAUUUAAAUUCUGAAUUCAUCACCUAACUACCUUUGUAUUGUACUCAAGUACCUACGUAUACGAAUCACUAACAAAUUGCGAAUUUUUCGCCAAAUUUAGAAUCAAAUUUUAUUUUGAAAAAUUGAUUUACUUGCCUAUGCCAAAUUGGUAACUAGGCUCUAGAGGACUACGUAGGAAAGAAAAAUAAGAAAAUAAGUCCUAUAGAAACAUGGGUAAGAAAGGGGAGGAUGGUGACGAUAAGUCAAAGAGCAAUCCGAUAGGAAGUCUUACCCUAGAAACAAAAGGUAAGGCAUCUCAUGCAAUGGAAAUAAUGGGAGAGUGUUGCAUUCCACUGUAAACUUCCUUCAAACUUCAAAUGCUUCCAUAGUGGCCGGAAAGUGGAAACAUGUGUCAAACAAUUUAGAAGCAUUGAGUGAAAACAACAUUCAAAAGUUCACUACAGAAACAUGACUAUCUUCAGAUCGACCCCAUUCCUCAAUAGGUUAUUCAGAGACCACAAAAGAUCACACAAAAAAAACUAAAGGAUCUCUCUUCUAUUUCGAACGAUGGUGAAGUUCCGAUAUUUUUCGAGGGGUUUACAACACCAGAUACCUCUACAAUUUUAAGAGAAAAUUGGUGUUUGGUCACCACUUUUUGGGGGCAAUUUGCUCAGCGUCACCACUUUUUUUUUAAUUUGAGCUUAGUCACCAUUCGGUCCCAACUUUGUCAAUACUAACGGUCAACAAGAGUUUGACUUGGUCAACAUAUGUUUGACCGUAUAACCAAUUUUAAGAAGCAAAUGCAGUACUAGAUAAGGCUGAAGCAAAGUAGUGACGUUGUGCAAAUAAACCCCCAAAAAGUGGUGACGUGAGUCCAAAAAUCUCCAAUUUUAACGUCUAGGUCAGUCUACAGAACAUUAGCUUAAAGAAAAUAUUUAGUAGCCCUCAACAAUUUAGAAUUAGUGAUGGUGUAACUUAUUCUUGUAACUUUUUGUUUUAGUAUUCGAGUUCGUACAAAACCUUGAAGUUGAAGCUUGGGAUACAUUAAGUCUUAAGAAUUUCCUUCGUAUAAAAAGUGGUCUCUGGAUAUUAAUAAGAAUGGGUGGUAUUGGAAAUUAUAUUGUUUCUAAGCUUAAUUGUUUGAAUAUAUUAAUAUAAAUAGUUAUUGGAUCCACACCUUAAUUGAAUUGACUCAAUACAUGCAUGCUUGGUUUAUAGCAUUUGAAAUUUUAUAUCAUUUUUGCAG